UUAUACAAUUAAUGCUAUUUAAUAUGUUUGGUUGAAUUUGAGUUAAUUAUUUAUAGGGUUUAAUUUUUAAAUUUUUAGGUGAAAUUUGUAUUUAAGUUAAGUCUUUUUAAGAUUCUUUUAAGGGCUAAUUUUAAACUAGGAUUAGAUACCCUAUUAUUGUUGUUUGUAAAGAUUUUCUGGGUAGUAUUAGUUAAGUUCUUUAAACCUAAAGAAUUGGGCGGUGUUUUAGUCUGGUUAGAGGAACUUGUCCCUUGAUCGAUAAUCCUCGUUUUAUCUAGCUUAGUCUUGUUAUCAGUAUGUAUACCUCCGUUAUAGGUUUA
rnacentral:rRNA from 1 species